GAAGAAGAAGAAGAAGAAGAGAGUGUGCUGAUUGCAGCCAUUAUUGUUUCUGUUUACAAAAAACUUAAAUCAGAGAAAUUAGAAUUAGCUGUGAAGUUCCUAUUAGUUAAAAAAAAAUGAAGAAUGUCUGGAAAAUAUUGAGAGCUUGCAGAGGAUAUGAGUGGGACAUAUGCAUCGGAGAUUUUCAUCUCCGACAAAAAUCUCAACUUGUGGUUCAUGUUCAUGUGGGAGUCCUGUCAUGUGGAUUAUGG
rnacentral:misc_RNA from 1 species